UUUGUACUAUUUUUCCCAAGAGGGGACAAAAGACUAGUUAUAUAUACAGGGUAAGUUCAUUAAAAGGCCACAACCAGAAUUCAGUGCCGCAGUCAAAAAAUUAUGAUUCUGAACUUACUGUAUAUCAUCAGCAACCUGGGCACUCCGGAUUGCCCAAAAAGAUCGAGGCUCCAACUUCUUCUUUGUGGCUGUGAAAAGCCACCCCAUAUGGGAUUCACAAUUGGCGCAGUAUGCUACUGUCCAUGCAUAUCCAGGAAACCAGCUGUAUUCUGUAGCUGCUACCCCUUCAAGUGCUAAGUCAUUUAUUCUAUAAAAAGUCAUUAUCUCAUGCACAGAACCAUG
rnacentral:misc_RNA from 1 species